rnacentral:rRNA from 1 species
UACGUAGGGUGCGAGCGUUAAUCGGAAUUACUGGGCGUAAAGAGUGCGUAGGCGGUUCGUUAAGUCAGCUGUGAAAGCCCCGGGCUCAACCUGGGAACUGCGGUUGAAACUGGCGAACUAGAAUCUGGCAGAGGGGGGUGGAAUUCCACGUGUAGCAGUGAAAUGCGUAGAGAUGUGGAGGAACACCGAUGGCGAAGGCAGCCCCCUGGGCUGAGAUUGACGCUCAGGCACGAAAGCGUGGGGAGCAAACAGG